rnacentral:piRNA from 1 species
UACUUUUAACCCUCCCAGUAAAGUUUGGUGA